rnacentral:rRNA from 1 species
GUACACACCGCCCGUCGCUGCCCGGGACUGAGCCAUUUCGAGAAAUUCGGGGAUUGCCGAUUAGCGGUCUUUCGGGAUUGCUUUUUGGUGAGAACCAACUUAAUCGCAGUGGCUUGAACCGGGCAAAAGUCGUAACAAGGUGGCUGUAGGUGAGCCUGCUGCCGGAUCAUUA